GUGGCUUACACUUUGGCUUAAAUUGGAAUGAUACAGAGAAAAUUAGCACGACCCCGCAUGCAAGGAUAACAUGCAUAAAUCGAGAAAAAAAAACAUCUCAA
rfam:Solanum lycopersicum cultivar Heinz 1706 chromosome 11, whole genome shotgun sequence.